rnacentral:tRNA from 1 species
CGGGAUGUGGCGCAGCCUGGAUAGCGCGUUUGACUGGGGGUCAAAAGGCCGUGAGUUCAAAUCUCACCAUCCCGACCA